GAUGAAGAACGCAGCGAAAUGCGAUAAGUAAUGCGAAUUGCAGAAUUCAGUGAGUCAUCGAAUCUUUGAACGCACAUUGCGCCCUGUGGUAUUCCGCAGGGCAUGCCUGUUCGAGCGUCAUUUCAACCCUCAAGCCCCGCUUGGUGUUGGGCCCCGCCCGCUGUGGCCGGCCCUAAAGACAGUGGCGGCGCCGCCUGGCCCUCAGCGUAGUACAUCUCUCGCUCCAGGGUCUGGUGGCCGCCUGCCAGAACCCCCCAACUCUGUGGUUGACCUCGGAUCAGGUAGGGAUACCCGCUGAACUUAAGCAUAUCAAUAAGCGGAGGA
rnacentral:misc_RNA from 1 species